rnacentral:rRNA from 1 species
CCUUUCACCCGCUGAAUUUAAGCAUAUCAGUAAGCGGAGGAAAAGAAACUAACCAGGAUUCUCCCAGUAACGGCGAGUGAACGGAGAUUAGCCCAUCACCGAAGUCUAUUCGCUCUUGUGAACAAGACAAUGUGGUGUUGAAGCUUGUACCUGGGAGCGCUUGCCUACUCGAAGUCCGACUCCGAUUACGGCUAGGACUAUGCCCACAGCGGGUGAAAGGCCCGUACGGGUAGGCUGUGUUGUUAUUAAGUGCUCCCCAGAUGUGCAUGCUUUCGAGUCGGAUUGCUUGAGAAUGCAGUCCAAAAAUACGUGGUAAACUCCAAGCAUGUUGAAAAU